UAAAGGAUUUGAUCUUCACAAACCUCAACAAACAUACAACAGGACGCCCACCAGCAGUUUGGCUUCCUCUGUACACAGUCUCAGCAAAUGAUCCCCACAAGUGUCAGGUAACUUGAGUCAGAGACAGGAUCACAUGGAAAUACAUGAGUUCCAUUUGUGAAAGUCAUCUUAUAUAGAUGAGAGGUUGGACGGAAUUGGCCACUGGCAUAAUUGAGAGCAAAGAUCUCAAUGAAAACCCAAUGACCAACAGAUAACACCAACUCUAGAGUUUCACCAGUGCUGGCUGUGUACUGCCGCCAGGAGUGAAGUACCUUCACUUGGACUCUCCAUUGUGUGGUGUAUGGCCUGACAUCUUUGAGAUUGCAUUGGCGAAAAUAAAGGAACAACGGAGAUUGCAUUGGCGAAAAUAUACUUAAGGUAUGAGAGAUGUUAUUUGUAUUGAUUUUGGUAAAAAUAAGUAGAUGAAUUAAAGACAACAUAGCUUCAUUUAUCAGUUUGAAAUUAAGACAACAUCCCUUAAAUCUCUUAUUCUAGAUCCGAACAGACUUAAACCGGGUCAAACCCGGAUCCAAAAGAAUUAAAGCAAAAAAGUACUAUAAAAAUGUAUAUGUAGAUUAACA